AAUGCAUAGGUAUAUUAAUUUCACAGAUUUUUAACUUACCAUUCCUAGCUCUCUUACUUGAUUUUGAUGCAGGAGUAACCAUGAUUUCCUUGACUGUCAUUUCUGGCAAAUUCCCUCCAUUAUUAUCUCCUCUUUUAACCAACCUGAAAACCAAAUCCCCAAUUAGCUCUCAAGUAUUACGAAGAAGUCACAAUUAAAGGAAUAUUGCCAACCUAGUCACUUUUCUAGUACUCACUUAUGAAUAUGCAAAUAAAAAAUUAGUUUUCUCAAAUACGAAUUUUUAUAGAUUUUUUCAUGUGUGAUUCUACUGCAAUUUGUGGUAUGCAAAUGUUCAGUCCAGCCACAAAUGAUCAAAUACACUGAGAUUUCAGUCCAAGGCAUUACAAAAAAACCAAACCCAAACCAGAUGUCCAGGGUACAACAGAUGCCACAUAUGAUCAACUCUGUGUUAGGGGUUUUAUUUUGAACUGCCUGUUGACUAUGAAAUUAUACAGAACAAGAGGAAAUAUUUUCUGCUUUUAAACUAAUAAGGGUCUUGUGAACAGGAAAAGAUUUUUAAUUGAAUUUUAAAAUUUAAAUAAAAUUUUUUAUCUUAAUCAAAUACUAUAGUGCUUUCAAGUAAUUUUAGUAAUUACAUAACUAUUUAAAAGGAGACAUCCCAAAAUUAUUUCAAAAGAAAAUUCAGUGAUUUUCAAAGUGAAAGCUAUUUAAUAUCAAUUCCAUAACACUGGAAACAGAAUUUUAAAAAACUAUUUUUUCAUAUCCAUGAUUUUCAAGUGAAAAAAUGGCAUAUACAGUUAAGAGAAAACUAGGCAAAAAGUGGAAACUUACCUAACCUACACACAAAUCUGUGUCUUUAAAGAAAAUUAUAUUAAAUGUUUAAAAAGUAAUCUUAAUUAUUAUAACCAGAUUUAGAUCUUCUCUACAAAAUGUGUAAGCUGAAAAAACCUCAAUAAACAGUAUAAGCAGUAUAUGAGGCAGCAUAUUUUACUUAGAUGAACACAUGUCGAACUUUGGGUUAAAUAAAAAAGUAACCUUUCAAGUCAGUUUUCGAAGUCUUAGAGGUAUUUGAAACCACAUGAUUUUUAGUUUUUACAAUGAGUAGAACCAGUAGAAUGGUUUUCAUGCAUGUGAUCCUUGUUUUCAAAACAAUUUCUCUAAAUAUCAAAUAUUUAGGUACUGUCAGCUUUCAAAAUGGAACAUAUUGCCAAUACUAACUAUAAAAACAUGACCUAUUAACUAUGUGCAUGACCUCACUCCUGCAAUUAUUUUCCUUUAUAAUUAGAACAGUGAAAAUCUAGAGAAGUCUUUUCAAGAGAAGACUGGAGCAAAAGGAAUAAACAGUAAGAGCAAAUCUUACCAAGACUGGCACUAACAUCUUCCUUUGGAGACAGAGAGGGGAAACAUAGAAAUACUGGUUUUCAAAUCAUCACACAGUAGGUGUUUACACAUGAAGCAUCUUGGGAACAUCCUGUUUUUCUCCGUGAUAAAAACUCAGCCACACGCCCACAACGGAGCUCAGAGAGACGAGGAGGACCCCAAACAAUUCCCAGCCGAACAACUCCCAGGCUGCCCUCAGGGCCCCCCAAAGGCG